UGCUGCAAGGCCUGCUGAGCUUUUCCAGCAAUUUCUAUUUUUGUUAUUGUUUAUGCAAUACAAUUAGUUCAGUUAACAAGAAGGUGGAAUCACAGGAACGAUUUAAACUUUCCUGUUUAAAGAAUAAAUAGAGCAUGUUCAACAAAUAGAUAUCUGUAGUCAAACCAAAACAAUACCACAAGGAUCUUCAACAGGUGCAGUUCAAGCAACACUGAAGACGACUGACACCAUCCAAGACAAAACAGCCCAUUUGACAGGUACAC